rnacentral:lncRNA from 1 species
UUCCCUCUUCGGCUCUCAGCCAGCUUGCCUUCAAGAUCCUCAUCUAGACAAGGCUUAAAUUUGGCUUAACUGUUGGCUCCAGCAUUACCGUUUCACAAGGACGGAGGUGCAGCCUGUGUGGUGAUCCUUGCCAGGCGAAGGCACCAGGAAGAAUCCUUAUCCAAUGACGGGGACCCUAAAACUUGCCCGCACUCUUUUGAGGUGUCCGGCCUCAGAAAAUGCUGCUCCAAAGUCCUUUGGAUGGAAUUGAAUGAGACCUAGAGGAUUCACAAGGAAUCUCCAUUUUGAAGAUGGUGGCAGAUUCAAGAUCAGAAGUCUCACAGAGAGGGCUCCUGCUGAACGCCUGGGAGAAGAAUAGACCAGAAGGAGGCUGGACACAGAGGCUGUGUGGGGCCACUCCAGCCUAUCACCAGGACACCUAAGCCUUCUGUCCAGUUGUGCUUUACACUGUCCUCCAGGCUUCCAAACAGUUUUCAUUGAGUCUUUGGAUGCUCAUUUCUGAAGCCACAUUAAAUCGAGGCUACUUCCUCUUAUUAACCUUUCUUUUUGUUGUUUGGAGACAGGGUAUGAUUAUGUAGCUUUGGCUGGCUUAGAAUUUAUCAUAUAGACCAGGAUACCCUUGAGUCCCUCCUUCCUCUGACUCCUAAAUCUGAGUGCUGAGACAAAAGAUGUGUGUCACCGCGCAUGGCAGCCUGUCUUUUGUUAUUAGGCAUGCUGGCUCUGCCUUUAUGGGGAGCAAGAAGUAUCAAACCUUCCUACUACAGAAGUCCCACGUUAAGGGAAAUCUAGAGUAAGCCUAGAUCAGAGAACGUACUAAUUACUAGCAUAGUUCUUUGACUCCAGGGAUAUGAAAAUGUCACCAUUUAAAACCUCAGUAGGGGACCACCUCAGUUUAACAUCAGGGAAGUGAAUGAAAUCUCAUACCGUAGGGUCAGGCACAGGAUGCUCAUAUUCAAGAACCCAGGACACAAUCACAUUAUUUAUAGACCAGCAAGAGCACAGGAAGAAAGAAAAAGAAGGAAGGGGCGAGGCAUGAAAGUAGUGAAUGGAGGCUGAACGGAGGAGGAAACACCUAGCAUAGGUCUUAGUUGCUCAGGGCUCCAUUAGCUGCGAGGUAGCAUGGCUUGCCAUGUCCUGAAGCUCUUGUGCUGAGAUUCUAUUUAUUCCCUCCCAGGUUUCUAAAGCCCUGAUUUGUAUUAAAAAAAACCAAAAAACAAAAAACAAAAUUGCACAGCCUA